GGGCGAAAGCCCUGAUGCAGCGACGCCGCGGUGGAGGGAUGACGGCCUUCGGGUUGUAAACCUCUUUCAGCAGGGAAGAAGCGAAAGUGACGGUACCUGCAGAAGAAGCGCCGGCUAACUACGUGCCAGCAGCCGCGGUAAUACGUAGGGCGCGAGCGUUGUCCGGAAUUAUUGGGCGUAAAGAGCUCGUAGGCGGCUUGUCACGUCGGUUGUGAAAGCCCGGGGCUUAACCCCGGGUCUGCAGUCGAUACGGGCAGGCUAGAGUUCGGUAGGGGAGAUCGGAAUUCCUGGUGUAGCGGUGAAAUGCGCAGAUAUCAGGAGGAACACCGGUGGCGAAGGCGGAUCUCUGGGCCGAUACUGACGCUGAGGAGCGAAAGCGUGGGGAGCGAACAGGAUUAGAUACCCUGGUAGUCCACGCCGUAAACGGUGGGCACUAGGUGUGGGCGACAUUCCACGUCGUCCGUGCCGCAGCUAACGCAUUAAGUGCCCCGCCUGGGGAGUACGGCCGCAAGGCUAAAACU
rnacentral:rRNA from 1 species